UAGGGAAUCUUCCACAAUGGACGCAAGUCUGAUGGAGCAACGCCGCGUGAGUGAAGAAGGUCUUCGGAUCGUAAAGCUCUGUUGUAAGAGAAGAACGUGUGUGAGAGUGGAAAGUUCACACAGUGACGGUAACUUACCAGAAAGGGACGGCUAACUACGUGCUAG
rnacentral:rRNA from 1 species